CCUACAACGGCGCUCCGCCGCCAAAAUUCUAGCGCGCUUAGCUGGCAAGCCAGUUGAGUCGCUAAGUAAAGAGGACAAGUCCUCUCUAGAAUGGGCUAAGGGAAAAUUGGCCGUUCUGGAGAAGAGUCCCCCCCUCACGUCUAAGGACGCGCCUAAACGGCAACGUUCUGAGGAGGAGACUAAUCUUCAGGGCCAGCAGCCCGGGACAAAACGUCCGAAACCGUUGCCCCCCAAGCCGCAUGACAGGACCUCCGGUGAAGUGGUUGAGAACCAAUUCACGCGUGCUGUCAUCGACAGGGGUGACAUAGAUGGCGCUAUGUCUCCAUCCAGAUGGGACAUAGUGCGAAAAAAGCUGAUGGGGGUGUUCUGGGAAGUUCUUAAACAGAACCCUGGUCCCCCCCCACAGUGUGAGGACGGCGGUUGGUUUCACAACAGAGUGAAGCUAAUGGCCUGUUCCAACGAGCGCUCAGCUUUGCUCCUGAAGCAGGCUGUGUCGCUGAUAAAGGAUCCGUGGGAAGGUGCUAAGCUGGAAGUGGUCUCUGUGGACGAGAUCCCACGAAGGCCUAGAUCCACCGCCAUAAUUCCUGCGGAACCACAUAAAAAGGCAGCGAUACUGGAGCUUCUACAGGUUGGCAAUCCGGAUCUUCCAACUCAAGAUUGGAAGGUCGUCAGGGUUUCUCAACCCGUAGGAAGCUCCAGAAGGAUUGUUGUGAUCCUGAACCAGGAGUCUUUGGCGCCGCUUCGCGAGAAACAAGGGAAGGUCUACUACGGCUUCGAGUCGAUCUUCCUCCGUGUCUACCGAGGCGAUGACAAGGGACUAUUGGAACAGGAUGAUCCCGAUCCUGACCAAUCCGCUGCGGAUAUGUCUUGCGACGAGACUGACCUUUCGCUGAGUCAAUCAACUUCUAAGUUGGUUAAGGAGGGGGAAGAGUCAGUUGACGAGGACGAUCUCCUUGCCUCUGACAAGGAGGACGCCAACGUCACAGUGUUGCGUAAAGACAAAAAAGGAGAUGGUGAGAGUAACCCAAAUUAAUCUCCACCACUCCAAAGCAGCCUCGGCUGCACUGCUCCUCCGAAUGGGUGUAAGUGGGGAGGAGCUCGCCCUAGUCCAGGAACCCUGGAUUCACCAAGAAAGGGUGAGUGGACUAGGCAUGAAAAGCUUUAAGCUAUUGUACGCAAAAGGAUCUGUGAUGAAGACACCGUAGCAGCCAUAUGGGAGACCAGUGUAGGUGCUAUAUUGGUUAUCUCGGCGUACAUGGCUCACGACCACAGCGACCAGCCACCGAACAACCUGGUCUGCAGAUCCAUAGAGAUGGCAAACUCGAAAAGCAUGCCGAUCAUCAUGGGGGCUGAUGCCAAUGCCCAUCACACUGUCUGGGGAAGCUCGGACAUAAACGCUAGAGGUAUCACAAAGGGAUCAAAAUUCUGGACCCAAGUGUGUCCCCAGUGAUGACAUCGCGAGGACGACCUGCCUACCUAACCU